rnacentral:lncRNA from 1 species
AUCUUUAUCUGGUUUUGGAAUUAGGGUGGUGGUGGCAUCAUAGAAUGUCUUUGGGAGUGUCCCUUCUUCUUCAACAUUUUGAAAGAGUUUAAGGAGGAUGGGCACCAGAUCCUCUUUAUAUGUUUGGCAGAAUUCGCCUGUGAAGCCAUCUGGUCCUAGACUUUUAUUUGUAAGGAGUGUUUUUAUGACAUAUUCAUUUCUAAUGAUCAGUCUGUUCAGUUGAUCUAUUUCUUCUUGAUUCAGUUUUGGCAGGCUGUAAAUCUCUAGAAAGUUUUCCAUUUCUUAUAGGUGGUCAAAUUUGUUGGCAUACAAUUGUUCAUAGUAUUCUCUUAUGGUUUUUUUUUUUUUUUUCCUGUGGUUAAUUUCUACUUUCAUGCCAUUGUGGUCAGAGAAGUCCUCUUACAUUUAAUUAACCUCAGAUUACAGCAAGAAUCCAUCAAUCCAUUUAUCCUAGACUUUUAAAAACAUUUUGAGGGACCAAAGUCUCUCAGUAUUCAGGCCUGUGAUGCUUGUCCCCAGUGAUCCGGGAUGUUGGAGUGAUGUCCCCUCAAGCCACACUGUGGGCCUAAGACUGGCUAAGAUCUGGGUCUCAUUAUCCAAAAGACCUCAAUGUCCAAGAAGAGAGGAUGUUCUCUGACACUUAGAGCUUAAAGUGUCUCAAGAAUGGGGCAGAGGCGGUCUCAGCACUGCCCAGCCUGUUCCCUGAAGGACAGCCAGAGCACAGGCUGGUUGACCUCACUGGACGGAAGUGAUAAUAAAAGAGGACAAUUCAGGAGUUCCUGUUGUGGCUCAGUGGGUUAAGGCUCCUGCGUUGCCAUAAGCUGUGGUGUAGAUCACAGAUAGGGCUCAGAUCCUGCAUAGCUGUGGCUGUGGUGUAGGCCUCAGCUGCAGCUCCAAUUGAAUCCCUAGUCCAGGAACAGCCCUAAAAGGAAAGGGGGAAAAAAAAAAAGAGAGAGAGAGAGGACAACCCAGGUAGCUCCUGGCAGCAUGACCAAUGUGAGGAAAAUUUGUUCCUUGCUGGUGGCGUCCCACAUCUGCAAACAGCCAGCAGCUUGCCACACACCAGCCCCAUAUUUCCUGCCACGGGCAUCAUUCCUAACUCUAGGAUCGUCUUCUGAAACAACCCCCUGGUGUGUCGCUGCUGUCCACUCAUAUAGCACAGGGUCUGUUGAGUGGGGACUGGAUUGUUUUUCACUAACCUAGGAGAAACUGACUAUGAAAAAAUAAAGACCCCAGCUUCAAAUCAACAUGAAUCUAAAUCAACUUUGACCAAACAUAUCUUGGUUUACUGGGAGAUGGUGUUAACAUAAAAAUUAUGACCAUGUGUACAAAUAUAAAAAAUGGAACUUGUGCUUCUUAUACAGCCUGAGCCAUAGGAAUUCAGUCCUCUGAAACCUAGCCCAACCCCACCCUCCACCAGUGCUGGAACUCUCCUAAGCUGCAUAGCUGUGCCCUGACUCAAGACCAGAGGCACAUUCUGGGCAAUGGACCCAACACAGCCUUAGGCCAGGAGCCAGGCCUACAGGGACUUUCAGAGAGGGCAGAGCCUUCAGAAGUACAAAUAUUGCAGGUGAUCGCCACACAGGCCAGGCACUGGCCACUAGCCAUGUCUGCUUCCACCACAAAGCCUUAUCCAGUGGUACUGCCCUAUAGAGGCUCUGUCUGUCCACAGCCCUGCAGACAUCCAGAAGACAAACAAGGAAUCUACGUGAGAUCCUUACCCAGCAUCCAGCCUGGUCAAAGACCAAUAGGGGCACUGAAGGAAGAGGAGAUAGAGCCUCUGCCAAUGAAAUGUAGAAGAGUAACCUGAGGAUAAAGAUCAGGAUAAAUAUGAAUCAGGGAAGGGAGCAGUGGACCAAUCCACAGAGAUUCACAAGGAUCCAGAGAGGACUGAGGGACCAGCAGAGAGCCAUCCUACAGCAUUUCAUGUCCAGCCCCAGAGAACCAGAUUGGGAGAGACACGUGAGAGGAAUAGAGGGGCCCAAGGGGGGAAGGAGACCCAGGGUGGUACAUGUCACAAAAGACCGGGGUGGGAAUGGUGGUGGAGUUGUGGCAAGAGAGUGUCCAUAUCAUUGACACAAACUCUGCUGUUUCUGCCUCAGGCUCUUAUGACUCCCCUAGUUCCCAGCUGUGCCCCAACGCCUGGCUCACUGCAGGGUGGGGGAUGGCGCCUUGGGGCAGGGUCUUCAGUGUCCUUGAUCAGGAGUUCCCACUCCCUUCUAAUGUCCACCUGAGAGCACAAAGGUUUUAUGGCAUCGGUGUCCCCUGUGGUUUCCUGAGGAACCUGAGGGUCAUUCUCUCACGUGCACAAUCCUUCGCCCUGAGAACAGUGCUCCCUCAAAAAAAAGCACUCACUCCCUAGGACAAGGAGUACAUGCACAUAAAGACCUGAGAAACCUGGCCAGACAGGAACAUUUGCCUCAACUGGACUGUUCUGUUCUAGAGAGAUGGAAUGUUGAGAAAAAGAGUUCCGACCUCUCAGAACAGCUGCUGUACCUAUGGAGAGGGUUGGUGGUUCCUGGGCUUUGGGCCUCAUCAUUUCCAGUGGAACCCACAAGAGGGAGCCCAUCCUCCAUCCCACAGGGAAUGUAUGGGGUCAGCUCUGCCCUCUGGUGGCUGCAUGAAAAACUGCAGUCAAAUGGGGGGAUGUGCAAGCAAAACUUCACUCAUCGCCUUCCACAUUCAUCCACUCCACCUUCCACAUUCAUCCAUUCCAUCCAUCCUAUUUGUAUCAGGUGCCAUGAAAGGUCCUGACUUAAUCCUCUUAGGCCCUGGGCUCUAUCCAUGAGGAUUCUCCCUUGCUUCCCCCUGACCUAGUCUGAUGGAGACAUAGCCCUUGGGCACAUCACUUUGUCAGGGCUUUUCUUGCUAAUUGUCCCAUCCCUCCUUGUCCACAGAGGCUGGCUUGCUGCUGGUUCCCAGAGAAAGCUGAUAUGAACCACUGUGCAUUCCUGAGCCCCUGCUGGGUACCUUUACAUCUACUAGAUUCCUCUCAGGCUCACUAGAAGAGAGAGCCAACCUUUAUUUUAUUAUAACAGAGAAAACUGAGGCUUAAUGAGACUCCAUAACUUACCAGAGGUGGCACGUCCUGCAAGUUCUAGAGCCUGGCUUGAAUUUUCUUCCGUCUGAUCCCAGAGCAUCUUAGGCAUGGUUUCCCUGAAGAUCCAGUGCGUUCUUUGCCCACAGUGCCCUUGGCCAUGGCUCAGGUCCUAGACAGGCUCCUUUUGGACAGUCACUCAGCCAGGUGGAUCUCAUUCAAGCCUCAGGUGCCAGGACUGCUUACCAUACCACCCAGAUAUUAUAGCCUUCCUCUUUGCCCAGAAUCUGUAUCCAGCCCUGGACUUGCUUGGUCCUGGCCCAGCUGGACUGCCUGGCACAGCAACUCAUACCCCAGCCUCCAGUCUCAAGGUUGCAGAUGCCUCAAGGCUUAGCAUAGGCUGCCCCAAGGCCCUCAGCAGGUGCACUGCACAGCUGGUGGUGCCAUGGGGGCAGAUUCUUGAAUCUAGAUGAAAAAAAAAGCCCUAGAGGGGUAGAACAGAGCUGAGAAUCCCAGCCUCUACCCACCUCCUGCGGCACCAAGUAACUGAGCUCAGCCCAGCCCUAGCCAGGGCCCUGACAACCAGAGAACAGCAGCCCCCCAGGCCCCUCAUUCCAUACACCCGCUCUCUAUGCCAUCAGCACAGCACAGCACAGCCAUUCUUUAAUCCACCACCAUUUAUGGAGACCAUGACAGCACCUCCACUGCUCUCAUCACUGAAGCAGUGAUGAUAUUUCUCAUGUCUCUGGUAGUUAAACUCCUACCAGAUAAUAGCUGUUUAAGAAAUAGUGAAUUGUGGAGUUCCCUGGUGGCUUAUUGGUUAAGGAUUUGGUGUUGUCAAUGCUGUAGCUUGGGUUCAAUCCCUGGCCCAGGAACUUCUGCAUGCUGCAGGUGAAGCCGAAACAAAACAAAACAACAACAACAAAAACACAGUUAAUUGGGUCUACUGAACAGCAAGAUCCUACUAUAUACAUCUGAAUCACUUUGCUCUGUAGCAGAAACACAACAUUGUAAAUCAACUAUACAAUAAAAUAUAUUUUCAAAAAAGAAUGAAUUGUCAUCAACUUAAACUCCUUAUAUGUUCUAGAAAUUAAAAUAUAAUGAGAAUCAUUUUAAAAACCACUACUUCCUAAAUACUAUCCAGAAGUUUAUAAAAAUACCGCUGAGAUACAAUGUGAGAAAAAGUAAACCAUUUAUGUAAAGACGGUUAAGUUAAAAAAAAUAGACAAUUCAAAAAUACAUCGGCGCAAAGGUGAGUUAUUCUCUUUUUGAUGACAGUCAAUCUGACAAGACUGAGGUGAUAUCCCACUGUGGUUCUGAUUUGUAUUUCCCCAAUGAUUACCUAUUGAGCAUCUUUUCAUGUACCUGUUGGCCAUCUGUAUGUCUUCUUUGGAAAGAAGGUCUUAUGCUCAUUUUUAAAUUGAGCUGUUUUUUGAUAUUAAGCUGUAAGAGCUCCCUUCUGGCCUGCGAAGUUUAUGCAGAAAAAUCAGCUGAUAGUCUUACAGGAGUGCCCUUGUAUAUGACUCUUUUUUUCUUGCUGCCUUUAAAAUUCUAUUUAACUUUUGCCAUUUUAGUUAUCUCGGUAUGUCUUGAUGUGAGUCUUUUUGGGUUCAUCUUAUCUGGGACCCUCUGUGCUCUCUGUACCUAGAAAUCUGUUUCUUUCUUCAGUUUGGGGAAAUUUUCUGCCAUGAUUUCACCAAAUACAUUCUCUACCCCUUUCCCUCUCUCUUCUUCUGGGGCACUUUUAAUGGAGGGUGGAAAACACCCUUGCCAUUCCUGAGCCUUUACACAUUAUUGUUCUCCUCUCUUGUCUAUAGCUUCCUUAAGGAGAGCUUAACAUUACUGUCCAUAGAAGUAUCUGAAUUACAUAACUUAAAAUAUAAAUACAUGUUAUACAACUUUAAAUACCCAACGAAUUGAAACAAAUGCAAAUCUACACCUGAUAAGAUCAGGUGACCAAAUGACAUUAAAAUUCACCAUUUUGGACUACAAUCAAAACCUCAAAAAUUUUUGAAAUGUACAAAAAUUUCAUGUGUGAUGGCCUGUCAGUGAAACUAGAAACAAGUGGAAAAAAUACAAGCAAAAACAACCAUGUGGGAAUUUUAGAACUGCCUCUGGAGUAAAUUUUGGAUCUAGAAACCACCAUCACUUACAUGCAGCUCAGGAAGUUAGACAUGGAAAAUGAAGCACAAGGAAAACAGAGAAAUAGAAAUGAGAUCGAAAUAAAUGAAAUAUCUUAGAACUCAGAUACUCAAGGUGCUCUGAGGUCAAAAACCCAAGAGCUAGGUAUAAGGUGCCUUUCUCUUCCUUUCUUCCCUUCCCUUCUCCUUCCUCCCUCGCUUCCUUCCUCCCCCCCUUUCCUCCUUCCUUCCUUGCUUCCUUCCUG